rnacentral:rRNA from 1 species
CCUACGGGGAGCAGCAGUGAGGAAUAUUGGUCAAUGGACGGAAGUCUGAACCAGCCAUGCCGCGUGCAGGAAGACGGCUCUAUGAGUUGUAAACUGCUUUUGUACAAGGGUAAACGUGAAUACGUGUAUUCAACUGACAGGACUGCUCGAAUCAGGCUCGGCCAACUAUGUGCCAGCAGCCGCGGUAAUCCGGAGGAUCCAAGCGUUAUCCGGAUUUAUUGGGGUUAAAGGGUGCGUAGGCGGAUUGAUAAGUUAGAGGUGAAAGCUCCGUGCUUAACUCCGGAACUGCCUCUAAUACUGUUGAUCUAGAUAGUAGAUGCGGUAUGCGGAAUUCAUGGUGUAGCGGUGAAAUGCUUAGAGAUUAGACAGAACACCGAUGGCGAAGGCAGCUUACCAAUCUAUAUAUGACGUUGAGGCUCGAAAGCGUGGGGAGCAAACAGGAUUAGAUACCCCGGUAGUC